GACAGAGGGUGCAAACGUUGUUCGGAAUUACUGGGCGUAAAGCGAGUGUAGGCGGUGUGGUAAGUCGGAUGUGAAAGCCCCGGGCUCAACCCGGGAAGUGCACUCGAUACUGCCACGCUAGAGUAUCGGAGAGGUUGGUGGAAUUCUCGGUGUAGAGGUGAAAUUCGUAGAUAUUCGCAAGAACACCAGUGGCGAAGGCGGCUCACUGGCCCGAUACUGACGCUGAGGCACGAAAGCGUGGGAGCAAACAGG
rnacentral:rRNA from 1 species